rnacentral:tRNA from 1 species
UCCUCAGUAGCUCAGUGGUAGAGCAAUCGGUUGUUAAUUGACUGGUCAUAGGUUCAAAUCCUAUUUGGGGAG